CUUGUCGGUAGUUUUCAAUAUUUUUUUUUAUUGAUCAUUUUAUGGUAACAACUUAAAGAUCUAAUGCAGAUCAUGUUAUAUAAAUAUCAUAUUUUGGAUACAAAAGGUCGAACAUUUCAUAAUUUAAAAGAUGUGAAACGCAAGGUGGGUUACUAGUUUCAGAUAAUUUUAAAAAUGUGUUUUUACUUAUCUUACUAGUAUAUAUGGAGGCUAUAAAAAAAAAGGACCAUAUUCUAAUCUGGAUAUGCUUAGAUGCCAAUGGUUGAAUUUGAGAGAAACUUUUUUUUCUUGUAGCAGUACCCGACCAACUUUUAAAAAAACUAAACAAAAGAAAAAUAUUGAAAAAAAAAUGCUAACACUUAU